AGGACGAACGCUGGCGGCGUGCUUAACACAUGCAAGUCGAGCGGAAAGGCCCUUCGGGGUACUCGAGCGGCGAACGGGUGAGUAACACGUGAGUAAUCUGCCCCUAGCUCUGGGAUAGCUCCGGGAAACCGGGAUUAAUACCGGAUACGACCACCUUAGACAUCUUUUGUGGUGGAAAGGAUUCCGGCUAAGGAUGGGCUCGCGGCCUAUCAGCUAGUUGGUGGAGUAACGGCCCACCAAGGCGACGACGGGUA
rnacentral:rRNA from 1 species